rnacentral:rRNA from 1 species
UACAGAGGUCCCGAGCGUUGUUCGGAUUCACUGGGCGUAAAGGGUGCGUAGGUGGCGAGGUAAGUCGGAUGUGAAAGCUCGGAGCUCAACUCCGAAAUGGCAUUGGAAACUACCUUGCUCGAGGGUUGGAGGGGGGACUGGAAUACUUGGUGUAGCAGUGAAAUGCGUAGAUAUCAAGUGGAACACCAGUGGCGAAGGCGAGUCCCUGGACAACUCCUGACACUGAGGCACGAAAGCUAGGGAGCAAACAGG